rnacentral:rRNA from 1 species
GAUGAACGCUGGCGGCGUGCCUAAUACAUGCAAGUCGAACGAACUGACUAGGUGCUUUCUCCUCUGACGUUAGCGGCGUACUGGUGAGUAACACGUGGAUCACCUACCUAUCAGACUGGGAUAACUUCGGGACUCCUGACCUAAUAUCGGCUAAUAUAUUGAACCGCAUGGUUCAAUAUUGAAAUACGGUUUUGCUGUCACUUAUAGAUUGUUCCGCGCCGCAUUAGCUAGUUGGUGAGGUAACGGCUUACCAAGGCAACGAUAGGGAGCCGCCCGGAGAGGGUGAUCGGGGAGCAUGGAAGUGAGACCCGGUCCAAACGACUAGGGAAGGCGGCAGUAGGGCAACGUGCGGAAGGAGCGAAAGACUGACGGAGAAACGCGACGUGAUGGAUGAAGGUCUUCGGGUGGUAAAACACGGUUAUUGGGGAAGAAAAAAUGUGUAAGUAACAAUGAAGGAAGUGACGGUACCUUAUGAGAAAGGCACGGCUAACUACGUG